UACAGGGGUGCAAACGUUGCUCGGAAUUAUUGGGCGUAAAGCGCGCGUAGGCGGCUACUUAAGUCGGGUGUGAAAGCCCCUGGCUCAACUGGGAAACUGCAUCGGAAACUGAUCGGCUUGAAGAUGGGAGAGGGUAGUGGAAUUCCCGGUGUAGUGGUGAAAUGCGUAGAUAUCAGGAGGAACACCGGUGGCGAAGGCGGCAUCCUGGACCAUUACUGACGCUGAGG
rnacentral:rRNA from 1 species